rnacentral:rRNA from 1 species
UACGUAGGGGCCGAGCGUUGUCCGGAGUUACUGGGCGUAAAGCGCGCGCAGGCGGCCAUGCGCGCCCGGCGUGAAAGCCCCCGGCUCAACCGGGGAGGGUCGUCGGGGACGGCAUGGCUUGAGGGCGGUAGGGGCCGGUGGAAUCCCUGGUGUAGCGGUGAAAUGCGCAGAUAUCAGGAGGAACACCGGUGGCGAAGGCGGGUCUCUGGGCCGAUACUGACGCUGAGGAGCGAAAGCGUGGGGAGCGAACAGG